rnacentral:tRNA from 1 species
GGCUCAGUAGAUCAGCGGUCGGAUCGCCGCUCUCAUAAGGCGGAUGUCGGGAGUUCGACUCUCCCCUGAGCCA